AUGGAAACGGGGCAACAACACUCUGUCAGGCAGCAAAAGUCCGUCUCGCUGCUGUUUUCACGGCUUUCAGUGCCUUUAGGAAAAGUCCGUUAGCAUCUUCUCAACUGUUUUCAGACAAGAUUCCACUUCUUGCUGAUGGUCUGAUGCUCGUCUUCACUUGUGGGCUGAUGGGAUUCCAGUAUUUAUACUUGAAGAGGGGGAGGAGCUUCACUGAAGUAGGGAGAUUAAAAAAGGAG